CGUAAGACCUCGGCCGAGGCAGAUUGCACAGUGGAGAAAGAGUUCUCCGCUCUCGAACUUAAGUCGAAUAAAUCUUGACAUAUGACAGACGAAGGGGUUUGACGAGUUAUCCAUGACCUCCAUCUUGUAGGGAUCCACGAUAGAAGGACUGUAUCACAUGAUAACUGCACCUAAAGGUUCAUCAUUCUAUUCUGCUGGGUAGCCACUACAUGCUGCUAGGUGUCACUGGUG
rnacentral:lncRNA from 1 species